CCAUGGGUACAUGAAGGACUCAAAGUGGAAAAGGAAAACGGAAGUGCAAUAAUAAGGUUACAGUACUGUGGUGGCAUGUCGGAGUAAAUAACGAGCGACCAGCUAGUGAAAAUUUUAGAGACACCUCCGAUCAAAAAGCGAUGUAAUAUCCCGUUAUAGUAAGGUUUUUUGAGUUAAAGGUGAUUGGAUCCUAGGACGAGGUGCUCCUCCCUAUACAUUGCUCUGUAGGUUAACGUGCCACUAAGUGUUAUCAAUCGUGCCAAGAGUCACUCCGCUAACGGUUGAGGUCUAAUUAUGUGCAUAUGGAUAUUUGAUGUGAAACAUUAAGGUUCAUUUGUUAUUCUAUAUAUGUAUAUAAUGGUUGAUGAUGCCAUUAUGAAUGCAUGACUGGGCUUUAUGAAUUAUUUUCAAAGGAAUUGUAAUUUAGUAUUACGAAUUUCAGAUUCUAAAGGAAUAUGGAUUAAUGUAUAAGAUCAUGUAAGUAGGCUUGCUUGGGCUUGGUAGGCUGAGCCCAUUGGGCCCUUGCACCGGUCAUGGCUCAAAAAUUGGGCUGUGACAGCAGAUGUUCAUUAUGCUAAAACAAUCAUGUUAGUCGUUGAAAUUCAAUUACUCUACUUGAUAGGAACAUUAUGCA